GAUGAAGAACGUAGCGAAAUGCGAUAAGUAAUGUGAAUUGCAGAAUUCAGUGAAUCAUCGAAUCUUUGAACGCACAUUGCGCCCGUCAGUAUUCUGGCGGGCAUGCCUGUUCGAGCGUCAUUACGCCCCUCAAGUCCCCUGUGGACUUGGUGUUGGGGAUCGGCGAGGCUGGUUUUCCAGCACAGCCGUCCCUUAAAUUAAUUGGCGGUCUCGCCGUGGCCCUCCUCUGCGCAGUAGUAAAACACUCGCAACAGGAGCCCGGCGCGGUCCACUGCCGUAAAACCCCCCAACUUUUUAUAGUUGACCUCGAAUCAGGUAGGACUACCCGCUGAACUUAAGCAUAUCAAUAGCGGAGGA
rnacentral:misc_RNA from 1 species